AUUGAACGCUGGCGGCAGGCCUAACACAUGCAAGUCGAACGAGUGGCGGACGGGUGAGUAAUGUCUGGGAAACUGCCUGAUGGAGGGGGAUAACUACUGGAAACGGUAGCUAAUACCGCAUACCAGCGGAUGUGCCCAGCUAGGAUUAGGUAGUAGGUGGGGUAAAGGCUCACCUAGGCGACGAUCCCAAGCUGGUCUGAGAGGAUGACCAGGCACACUGGAACUGGGACACGGUCCAAAGUCCUACGGGAGGCAGCAGUGGUGAAUAUUGCACAAUGGGAGCAAGCCUGAUGCAGCCAUGCCGCGUGUAUGAAGAAGGACUUCGGGUUGUAAAGUACUUUCAGAGGGGAGGCAUUACCCGCAGAAGAGGCACCGGCUAACUCCGUGCAAGCAGCCGCGGUAAUAC
rnacentral:rRNA from 1 species